rnacentral:rRNA from 1 species
UACGUAGGGGGCAAGCGUUGUCCGGAUUUAUUGGGCGUAAAGAGCGUGUAGGCGGUUCGGUAGGUCCGUUGUGAAAACUCGAGGCUCAACCUCGAGACGCCGAUGGAAACCCCCGAACUAGAGUCCGGAAGAGGAGAGUGGAAUUCCUGGUGUAGCGGUGAAAUGCGCAGAUAUCAGGAAGAACACCCGUGGCGAAGGCGGUUCUCUGGGACGGUACUGACGCUGAGACGCGAAAGCGUGGGGAGCGAACAGG